rnacentral:tRNA from 1 species
GGCUCAUGUUUAGCUCAGUGGGUUAGAGCACUGCACCGGCAUCGCAGAGGUCAUGGGUUCGAAUCCCGUUGAGUCA